UCCAGCCUGGCCUUGAACACUGCCAGGGAUGAGGCAGGCACAGCUUCUCUGGGCAACCUGUGCCAGUGCCUCACCACCCUUACAGGAAAGAAUUUCAUCCUACUUACCUUAACUCUCCCCUCUGUCAGGUUAAAGCCAUUCUUGUCCUCUCCCUACAUGCCCUUGUAAAAAUUCUCUCUCCAGCUUUCUUGUCAGCCCCUUUAGGUACUGGAAGGCUAAUUGGAAUGCAGUGUCUUUCCUGGCUUGUGCUGUACCACAGUACAGUACCUGUUUCCCUUUGCCCCAUCCCUGUGCUUGUUCUCUCACCAGCACUGAUGAAAUAUCAGGAUGCCAAAGAAACCAGUGGCAGAGCGUGCAGAUAACAUGCAAUGAAAGAUAUUUUAGUACUUCCUCUGCAUCUUCCCAGUAUUUUCAGCAAUGUGGUCCCUGGGGCACAGGCAUCACGGCAGGCAGGAAGGUUGCUCAGGCUGCACUGUUGAACCCAGAUGGCCACAGGCAAACAUUUGCUUAAUGCUGACAGAGCAGACACCAUCCUUGGCAGAUGGCAGCUGAGGCGAAGCAGGAACAGGAUCUAUGGAUCGCCCCAAGCCACAGCCCUGCACCUCAGAUGCAUCCAGAAAAACAUUGCUCUAACAGCAAAUGUCUGUGAAAGCCUCGAGCUGCCCAGUGUGAUCGGCAACCCUAAGUGAAAGGAGACCAUGGGAGGCUCCUCGUGUCUCCAAGCAGCUGGUCACAGCAGGACCACAGGCUUCCCAAGGGGACCAGGGGAACUUCACUGGUCACGUCGCAGUGGCAUCAGGAUGCUAUUACCAGCAAAGGUUUGUGCUGGAAAUGCCAACAGCCUCAGUCAGCAGGUAAAGCAGGGAGCGAGGAGUGGGCGUUGUGUGCUCCCCCCAGUACCCAGCCAGCAUGGAGUGAGCCACGUUGCCCUCUGAAUGCUGGAUGAGAACAGUCUAAGUUACGUUUGCCCUUAUGCAACCCUGACCUGUCUGUUCUGAAAGUAUCUGGCAUUCAUUGGGUGCAUGUUGCAGAGCGCAGCUCACCUUGAAUGCACAUGCAGGCAGCAGAUGAAGUCUGAUGGGAAUUACAGGUGUGCUGGGAUGGGAGCCGGCAUCCCCAAGGUGAGGGAUUUCACAUUGGCUUGACCAAAUAACACCUUUAGUUUUAACGCUUAUGGCAAGAACAGGGCCAAGGCCAAGUGCCCAGUCCUGCUCCUCCAGGCACUGUGCAGUCUCUUGAAGCCUCCAGAGUCCCUCGGCUGUGGAUGGGGCUGCACAGGGGGCUGUGCAAGGCUGUGUGUGUCUGAGCUCGCCACUACUUCUGUUUCACGAUAAUCAAUUUGUCAUCAAGUUUCAAUUUGAAAUCACACCGCACACAUCACUGCUUUGUUCAGGCAGCCUCCACAAUCACAUCACAAACACAGGCACAUAAGCAGCGACCCUUGAGGCUGAUGGAGUCACUGCAGUCAGAAUUAAUUACUGUGCAAACAGAGCGAUACAAUGAGAGGCUGCGUGUGAGAUCUGAUUAAUGUGUUAGUACCAAAUAUCAGAGGAGAACAUUGGCUGCUUAAGCCAAGACACGUCCCAUCGCUGCGCUCAGUUCACCCGUGCUGUGGGCCAGCCCGGGGCUCCAGCCUUCCUGCAGCUCCAGGAUUUGUCCACACAGCUCCUGCUCAUCCCAGCCAAAGUUUUUCCCCAGACACCCAGGUGAGACUGGGGAACCUGGGGGGGAAAGGGGAUGAGCUGAUGGCAGCAAGCCUGGAGACCUAUGCAGAGCGCAAGGAGCAAGUCCCUUUGCUUUGAUGUUAAAAAAAAAAAACAAUUCACAUGUGUGGGCUCUUUGCUGAUUACUUGUGAAAGCAAAAUACAUCUGCAGGAGUGAAGGUAAUUGGUGAGCAAGGGAAACAGUCUGAACUCAUCAGCUAAUGGGAAGAUAAAAUUUAUACCCAUUUGAACAGUGUGCAGCCUGUGAGCCUGCUUUAUGGGCUGUGCCACUUCAGAUAUGCCUAGCUUUAAGCCUACUGGUUUUUUUUUUAAUUUGCAGGGUGAAAACAUAUACAACUGCAAUUUCAGCCUUUGCCCCUCAGGUCAAAAUUGUUCACUCAGCCAGCUAAAGAGUCAGGCUUGGAGGGAGCCAAAUAACCUAAGUGCACUUGCACAGAGGGAGGUGAGGGUACAGGGACAGCAGCCUGGAGGGGAUGCCAACCUGAGCAUCCUGCUUCAAACAGCAGCGUGAAACGCUCCAAAGUGCUGUAAGUGAGUAUCGAUCAAAGAAACCAUAUUUACCCACCAAAUAUUGCACAGCCACUGUGUAAAUAUCAGAAGGGAUUGACCAAGGCAGAAUUAUUAGACCGAUACCAGUGUUCCUUCUGACAGCAGCAAUAUCCAAGUGAAAAACAAUCAUGUAAUAAUUAAAUUCUCCUGUCUCCUGUG